rnacentral:rRNA from 1 species
AUAUUGGACAAUGGGGGAAACCCUGAUCCAGCGACGCCGCGUGAGUGAAGAAGUAUUUCGGUAUGUAAAGCUCUAUCAGCAGGGAAGAAAGCAAUGACAGUACCUGAGUAAGAAGCCCCGGCUAACCACGUGCCAGCAGCCGCGGUAAUACGCAGGGGGCAAGCGUUAUCCGGAAUUACUGGGUGUAAAGGGAGCGUAGACGGUAAUGCAAGUCUGGAGUGAAAGGCGGGGGCCCAACCCCCGGACUGCUCUGGAAACUGUGUAACUGGAGUGCAGGAGAGGCAGGCGGAAGUCCUGGUGUAGCGGUGCAAUGCGUAGAUAUUAGGAGGAACACCAGUGGCGAAGGCGGCCUGCUGGACUGUAACUGACGUUGAGGCUCGAAAGCGUGGGGAGCAAACAGG